UCUUCAGUUUCUCAACUGUAAUACUAAUUAUAACUUGCUGUUCUGUAGCAAAUUGCAGGUGGAAUGGCAUUAUUCUUAAUCAAGAAAAACAACAACUUGAUAUCCGAGAGUCAUGAAGAAUUAUCAAACUGCUUCAAACCAAAAGACAUAUGGAACGUAUAUCGUUCUUACAUUUUCAUCAUUUGGUUUAAGCAGGUGGAAUUUAUAUUGACGAUUCUGACAUAGGAAAAUCUUGCAAAGGGUUAUUUGGUUCACAAGAGCAAAGUGGUGGUAUUUAGUAAGUAUGAUCCUUUCCUUAUUCUAACUGGAACCGGUUUAGAGUAUCAUUUGUUAGUUCUGGGUCUUAUGGUCGUUGUUUCUGUAUCAAAGACACCCUGUUAGUGUUUACUAUACUCACUUACUUUUUUAGUAUGCUCACUUACUCUCACUCAUUUCAGUUCUUUAGUGAUAGCAUGAUAGACUGAUUUGGUUCAGGUGAAUGCAUAUUUUGGUUGGUUACUGUAA